rnacentral:rRNA from 1 species
GACGAACGCUGGCGGCGUGCUUAACACAUGCAAGUCGAACGGAAAGGCCCUGCUUUUGUGGGGUGCUCGAGUGGCGAACGGGUGAGUAACACGUGAGUAACCUGCCCUUUACUUUGGGAUAACUUCAGGAAACUGGGGCUAAUACCGGAUAGGAGCUCCUGCUGCAUGGUGGGGGUUGGAAAGUUUCGGCGGUUGGGGAUGGACUCGCGGCUUAUCAGCUUGUUGGUGGGGUAGUGGCUUACCAAGGCUUUGACGGGUAGCCGGCCUGAGAGGGUGACCGGCCACAUUGGGACUGAGAUACGGCCCAGACUCCAACGGGAGGCAGCAGUGGGGAAUAUUGCACAAUGGGCGGAAGCCUGAUGCAGCAACGCCGCGUGCGGGAUGACGGCCUUCGGGUUGUAAAACGCUUUCGCCUGUGACGAAGCGUGAGUGACGGUAAUGGGUAAAGAAGCACCGGCUAACUACGUG